rnacentral:rRNA from 1 species
AUUGAACGCUGGCGGCAGGCCUAACACAUGCAAGUCGAGCGGUAGAGAGAAGCUUGCUUCUCUUGAGAGCGGCGGACGGGUGAGUAAUGCCUAGGAAUCUGCCUAGUGGUGGGGGAUAACGUUCGGAAACGGACGCUAAUACCGCAUACGUCCUACGGGCGAAGGCGGGGGAUCUUCGGACCUCGCGCCAUUAGAUUAGCCUAGGUCGGAUUAGCUAGUUGGUGAGGUAAUGGCUCACCAAGGCGACGAUCCGUAACUGGUCUGAGAGGAUGAUCAGUCACACUGAACUGAGACACGGUCCAGACUCCUACGGGAGGCAGCAGUGGGGAAUAUUGGACAAUGGGCGAAAGCCUGAUCCAGCCAUGCCGCGUGUGUGAAGAAGGUCUUCGGAUUGUAAAGCACUUUAAGUUGGGAGGAAGGGUAGUAACCUAAUACGUUGCUACUUUGACGUUACCGACAGAAUAAGCACCGGCUAACUUCGUGCCAGCAGCCGCAGUAAUAC